rnacentral:rRNA from 1 species
CCCUUAGAUGUUCUGGGCCGCACGCGCGCUACACUGACACACUCAACGAGUUUAUAACCUUGCUCGAAAGGGCUGGGUAAUCUUGUAAAAUUGUGUCGUGAUGGGGAUAGAUUAUUGCAAUUAUUAAUCUUCAACGAGGAAUUCCUAGUAAACGCAAGUCAUCAGCUUGCAUUGAUUACGUCCCUGCCCUUUGUACACACCGCCCGUCGCACCUACCGAUUGAAUGGUCCGGUGAAAUUUUCGGACCGUGGCAAUGCUCCGUUCAUUCGGAGCGCUGCUGUGGGAAGUUAAUUAAACCUUACCAUUUAGAGGAAGGUGAAGUCGUAACA